AGUCACACAAGAGUAAGCUACAAUGUAAACUCCACUUCUACAGCCUGAAAAUGGGAGACCCUGGAUAAAAAUGUGUUUUAAGCGCUUAUUUGGCAGCGAAGGACACAAUCAACACGUCAAAUUCUAAGUCCCCUCCUGUUCCCUGAUUUAAGAGGUGAUGACUACUCCACUCCACUACCAUUGUCAACUUUCUCCUGACAUGAACCGAAGCCACGUCUCAGGUGCCCCCUCAUCCACUGGCAAAUUGAAUGUUUCCCCUCCAAGCACUUCAAAUCCUGUCCUGCACUGGUCAAGCCUAUGAACACCUCAACUCAUGCCUCAUACCCUCAUUCAAUCACUGCUGUGAUCCAUUUCCAACACGGUUGAAUGCUUGAAACCCUCAUCUUGUCUCUGUCUCCCUUUCCGGAGGACCUGAGGCUCUUGGACCGAGACUGAGUACUCCCUGGCCUGACACCUGGACGUGCCUAGCCCAAUCCCACCUUGCCACGCUCUACCUGCUACCUGCCUAUUGCUGCCUUCACUGGUUCUUUCUCCUCAAACACUGACCCCCACUCCCCACACACCCAGAAACGUGAAUUUCCAUUACUUACCAUGACGUCUGACUAUAAGGUCUUGAAUGUAUGCUUUUAUACGGUCUGUAUCUCUGUAUUAAUGUAAGUCAAAUAAAUAUUGUGGACUGGAAGUGUGACUUCUUUCCCCAAUGAU